CGGGUGGUAAUGCCGGAUGUUCCACAUGAUCGCAUGUGAUUGUGGGAAAGAUUCUAUCGGCGUGGGAUGGGGUCGCGUCCUAUCAGCUUGUUGGUGAGGUAACGGCUCACCAAGGCUUCGACGGGUAGCCGGCCUGAGAGGGCGACCGGCCACAUUGGGACUGAGAUACGGCCCAGACUCCUACGGGAGGCAGCAGUGGGGAAUAUUGCACAAUGGGCGCAAGCCUGAUGCAGCGACGCCGCGUGAGGGAUGGAGGCCUUCGGGUUGUAAACCUCUUUUGUUUGGGAGCAAGCCUUCGGGUGAGUGUACCUUUCGAAUAAGCGCCGGCUAACUACGUGCCAGCAGCCGCGGUAAUACGUAGGGCGCAAGCGUUAUCCGGAUUUAUUGGGCGUAAAGGGCUCGUAGGCGGCUCGUCGCGUCCGGUGUGAAAGUCCAUCGCUUAACGGUGGAUCUGCGCCGGGUACGGGCGGGCUGGAGUGCGGUAGGGGAGACUGGAAUUCCCGGUGUAACGGUGGAAUGUGUAGAUAUCGGAAAAAAAAC
rnacentral:rRNA from 1 species